AAAGACAGAGCCAACAGACCGCAACUCGCGACUCCGUAAAAAAGGAAUCUCAUCUUCGAAAACCCAUUACCUACUAAGUGCCCAGUAAGCCCCCUGCAAGCGCUAAAAAGAUAACACUAAGUGCCACCCAGCCCCUGCCCUCCCAGAGCUCUCAGUUUAGCUGGGAAGACAGACAAACAGCCAAGUGACUCACCCCCGACCUGAUGUGGGACGUGCCAGAAAAGAAGUUUCAACAAAGGGCACCUAAGAACAGAGAGAUUGAUUUCUGAUUUGAGAGGAAACCAGGUAAGGUCUUCAGAGAGUUGGCACCUGAAGCGGAGAGGUGACAGAUGCGUUCCACAGGAAGAGAUGGGAAUGGAACUGUGAGGGAAAACGCAGAGAGAGAUAAUCCUCUGGGCUUUCACCUUGCACACGGUGGUGGACUGGGAACCCUGGGGAUGCAGUGAUGAACAGACGUGAAGGCCUUCAGGAGGUCACAGUCUAGAGAGAGCCAUGGUGUAUGGACCAUAUUGGAGGAAAAGUGCUGAAAGCCGUCAUCCCAACACCCCACCCCGGUCUAGCCAGGAGCCCUUCUCCAUGGUUCUGUACUUCUCCAUUCAUUCAUUUGUCGAACAUUUAUUGUAUACCCAUUAUGUGCCAAGCCUAGAGAUACAAAGGAGAAUAAGGCAGAUGGGGGUUCCUGAUUUCUCAGGACUUAAGUCGUAGCCAGGAGGAGAGAGACAAUAAAACAUUAAACAAAGAAAUUAACAAGGUAAUUUCUAAACUGAUGAAGUCUUCUGAGGAACAUAAAAUAGGGCAUGAGCUAGCAUGUUGGUGGGGGAGGGAGGAGUCCUCUGGAGAAGACUGAAGGGUGGGAGGAUCCAGCAAGUUAAGAUCUCAGGAGAAAACAUGACAGGCGGGGCCACGGUGGGGGCAAGUCCAGCAGCAGGAAAGAGCAAUGGCGUGCCAGGGGAACAGCAAGGCCAGUGUGCCUGAAACAUGCUGACCAAGGGGAGUGGGGCCCUCACUCAGCCUCAGAAAGCCUGGCAGGUCACAUGGGGCUUUGAUGGUCUCAGUGAGGAAUUUGGGUCCGACCCUAAGAGCAAUGGGAAACCACUGGAGCCGCGAUGCCCCAUAGAGAUCAAAUGUGAGCCAUGUGUGCGAUUUAAAAUGUUCUAGUAGCCACAUUUUUUAAAAGUACAAAGAAACAUUAUUAAUUUUAAUAUUUUAUUUAACCCAAUAUAUCCAAAAUAUUACUUCAACAUGUAAUCAAUGUGCAAAAUUAUGAAUGGGAUAUUUUACAUUCUAUUUUGGGGAACUAAGUCUUUGACAUAGGUGUCUGUGUGAUACUGACAGCAAUUCUCCACUCAGACCAGCCACAUUUCAAGUGCUCAGUAGACACCUGUGGCCAGUGGCUGCCAUCCUGGCCAGAGCAGCACUGGAGGGUCUAAUGAUAAUCGUCUUCCCAUAUAGCCAGGCUCAGGGCUAUCUUUCAUUUCUCCCUUCCCCUCACACCUACCUGCCAUCAUCAUCCACCAGGAGCUUAGAUAGUUCCCUCUCAAACCACCACAUCUAUCCCAACAUCUACCCCAGCUCAACUGUCUUCAAUAUUUUGCACAUCAGUUAUUGCUACAUCCUCAGAAUUGGCCUUUUUGCCUUUGCUCUAUCUCCACCAAUCUCUUGCCGCCGGACUACUGAUGUUUCUGCUAAGACACAGCUCCCUCUUCUCCCUUUUCCCCCGGCAAAUCUUCCAUAGCUCCCACUGCCCUCACAUAACACAGUUAAAACCCAGGUCCUACUUGGUCCACUUCAUCUCACUUGCACCAGUGACUUAUGCAAGGAAUGAAACUCAUGUAAUUUUAUUUCCCAGAAUAUCCUUAAACACUAUGAACAGUUGUAAAAACAUUGAAAGCUUUCAGGCUUUUGUUUCCAUUGAUUAUUCCCCUUUAAUAGUAAUUUUUCUCUCUGUACAGAAGUGUUCUCUAUUUUUUUCUUAUUUGAUAGUUUUUAUUUUGUGAAGAUUUUUUUUUCUCUUAAAGGCAAUUCCCGUGACCUGCGACAUUUGGAUACGAGUUGCCUACGUAUUGCUUGAUUUCUUGGUAGUUCUCAUCCCACAAGCCAACUGCAAACGUGAUACGUGGCAAAUAUACAUCAUCAGGAUAACGUACAUAAUCACAUGGGAUGUGUGUGUAUAUAAACGUUUAAGCGAAAGUAAAUUUAAUUGUGCUUUGAACCACCUAUGACGUCACUUGAAAUUGCAAGAAACUCUAUGAGCUAUAACAAGUCCAGGCUGGGAAUCUCUAAAAUCUUCCUUGACUUUGGUUUUGAUCUUGUAAGAACAACUGAGCUGCCAUCUUUGAAGUACGGUUGAAGGCCAUUCCUCGUGUUUUUCUUUUUCCCCUUGGUUUAAGUAGCUGAAUAUGUAAGCUGAACAUUUAAGUAGCUGAAUAUGUAAUUUUUGCAGACCCCACUCCAAAAGAACCAUCAAAACCAAGAUUCACAUGAUGCCCACAUGUCCACACGACUGCUCUUGACUAUGGAUGUGAGAUAUUAACUCCAGAAAUAGACUGGAUGUGAACCGAGCCAUAAAUUGCUAUUGAAGGAAGUUUGCGCUUACAUCCCUGGAAAGUAAUAUUAAAAGGCCAGGGGUUCACAAGCCUGCUGCAGCUGGAGUCCCCUAAAUCUUGUCUAUCAACUUGAUUUGGCUUGAUUCUAAUUUGGUUUGAGAGCCUACUUCUGUUCUUUGCAUGUAUUUGAGCAUAAAUGAAGGUCUAAUAGUACUUUUUGCUUGUCUAACAGGCACAUAAUGUCACUUCUCCUUGCCAGACCGUGGGGUCCAGGGCUUUUCUAAGAAAAUCCACCAGCAAAGCUCGUACAACGUGUGGCUCCCCAGGCUGCCUCGAGUUCUGGUCUCCAGUUUUCGUAUUUCCUCCCAGCAUUAAACUCUUACUCAGCACCUACUGUGUGCGCGCACUGUGUCACUGUGGAGAGACACAAGAAUGAGACACUAGUCUCUCCAUCUCUGGAGGAUUGAGAACAGAGGGAGUAAGAGGAUAAGGACGGUUCAGAUGUUCUCGGAGGCCCUUUCCAGCUUUGGCAUUCUAUAAAUCUGUUUGGUAGGCAUUUGAACAGUAAGAAGGGUUGGAUAAAACAUAACCUCAAGGAAGUUUUGGGGGUGGACUGCAAUUCAACCUAAACUGUGAAGAGCCAUACCAAUAUCCUGUGUUUCUAGUUGAAACCCAAUGAAUGUAUCCAAGAAAAACACUCCCAAGGAAACUCCACUCAUCCCCCGAUCCAGGAAGGGAAAGACGACGCCCAUGAAAACAUUCCAUUGAAAUUAAAGCCCUGCUGCCAAUCAACCUCUCCCACAAGUCCUAGCCCUCCCUCCCCUGGGACUCUGGUAGCAAGCAGGUGAGAUGUGAGGGAAUCUGUAUAAGGAUGUGAGCAUGAAAUGCUUCAGUUCGUGCGGUCGGCUCAACUGCCGUAACAACACUCUCCCUCUAAAAAACACUGUCUCAGAGAAAAAAUCUUCAUGGCUCUUCAUUGCCUAGAGAAUUAAGCACAAACUCUUCAACUUCCAUUUCAAGGUCCUCUACAAUAUGAAGACAAGCCACUUCCUUCAUGCACCUCUUCUUACAAUCUAAUUGGGCUUUGUGAUGGGCACACGUCAUAUUACUCUCUCCAGGUGCUAACUCAAGUUAUCUACACCCUACUUAUCAACAUUACAUCAUUAAAUUUCAUCUCUUCCAUGAAGCUUGUCUUUCCUCCUCCCUCUCUUCUUUUCUUUCAAGUUACUUAAACACUUAUCUUUCAAGAUACGUAUAUACUAUUCUUCUAAAUAAAGGUAUACUUAAUGAGUGCUGGUAUCUAUCUCUGAAUCCUCUUUCCUAAGGAACUGACAACAAGUGCGGUUUAAAGAGGUUUCGAUUCGCUUCUAUGUGUCCCACAGUAGGCUAUUUAUGUCCAGUUUGAAAAUGCAAAGGAACUAGAAUUAGCCAAAGACUUUUGAAAAACUACAAAGUUGGAGGAUUAUAGUAUCUGAUUUCGAGACUUAUUUGAAUGCUACAGUAAUCAAGACAAUAUGAUAUUUGUGCUGCAAUGAGCAAAUAGGUCAAUGGAGCAGAGAAUCCAGAAGUAGACCCCACAUAUAUAGUCAACUGAUUUUUGACAGACAGGUGAAAACAAUUUAAUGAGGAAAUGUUGAUCUAUUCAACAAAUUGUGCUGGAACAUUUGGAUGAACAAUGCAAAAAACAAACAAACAAAAGACCUUUGAUCUAUACUUCACGUCACAUUGAAGAAAGAACCCAAAACAGAUCUUCGUCUAAAUAUAAAACCUGAAACUAUAAAAUUUCUACAAGAAAUAUAGGAGAAAAUCCUUGUGGCCCAGGGUUAGGCAAAGAUCUCUUAGAUACAACACAAAAAAGCAUAGUACAUUGCAAAAAAUUAAUAAAUUAGACUUCACCAAAAUUAAGAAUGUCUCUUCAAAAGACACUGUUUUGAGAAAUUAAAAAAGAAAAACACUGGUGAAAAAGAGAAAAAAGAAUUUGGAGAAAAUAUUCGCAAAUCACAGAUUUGAUAAGAGAACUGUAUCUAGAUUAUAUAAAGAACUUUCAAAACUCAAUAAUAAGAACAAACAAACCAAUUACAAAAUGGGUAAAAGAGUUAGAUUCUUCAUCCAAAAAGAAUAUGGAUGGCAAACAAGCACAUGAAAAGACGUACAUUCUUAGUCAUCAGGGAAAUGCUAAUUAAAAUCACAGUGAGAUAUGCCUCCAUGACACACCCACUAAAACCAGUCAAAAACUAAAAAGGCUGACUGUAUUAGGUGUUGGAAAGGAUGUGGAGUAACCAGAACGCACACACCACUGGAGAGAAUGUAAAAUGGUACAACCACUUUGGAAAACAGGUUUUUAAAAACUUAAACCUAUGCCUAACAUAUGAUCCAGCCGUUCCACUUCUAGGUAUUUACCAAGAGAUAGGAAAGCAUAUGUCCUUACAAAGACUUAUCCAUAAAUAUUCAAGGCAGCUUUAUUUGUAACAACCAAAAACUGAAAACAAUACAAAUGUCUAUCGAUAGGUGAAUGGAUAAACAAAUUUUAGUAUAUCCAUACAAUAGACUACUGCUCAGCAAGAAAAUGGGAAAACGUGUUGACCCAGAAUAGUUAUGCUGAGUGAGAGAAGUCAGAAAAAGAAGAGUACAUCCUCUAUGAUUCCACUUAUAUAAAAUCUACAAAAUGCAAACUAAUCUAUAGGGACAUAGGCAAAUCAAUAACUGCCUAGAGACUGGGGGAGAGGUACAGAGAGGGUGCUGGAGAGGACAGAGAGGGAUCACAAAGGGAGAAGGGGAAACUUUUGAGGGUGAUGGAUAUAUUCACUAUCUUGAUUGUGGUGAUGGUUUCCUGAGUGUACACAU